rnacentral:lncRNA from 1 species
ACUAUGGAAUACUACAUAGCCAUUAAAAAUAAUAAGAAAAGUAGAUAAUUUUAGAUAGAUCUAGAUAUAAAUAAGAAUAACAUGAAGUGAAAAAGUCCAUUUGCAGAACAGUAUGUGUAGUCUAAUUUUGAUUAUGAAAAGUGCAUACACAAAUAAAAGUGAAUAUGUAAAGAAACUUAAAGACACAUCUAUAUUUAAUGCAAUUAACUCUGAUGGAUAGCUGUUGAAGGCAUAGCAAGAACAUUCUUUCAUAUUCUUAUUCGUAUUGAUAUGGAGUGUGUUGAUUUUUGGCCAUAAACAUAUAUAUCUUUCAUUUAAACUUUUAUAAAGUGACCCCCUGAGUGAUUGAAAAUAUUAUUGACUCUAGAAAAUAUUAUUGACUUUUAUAUUGAUAAAUAAAAAUAUCUGCAUGGAUAAAAAGGUGGGCUUAGUGGCUUUUUAGGUGCUAAGUUUUCUUUCUGCUUUUCAUAUUUUAUUUGCCAGAUAUUCUAUAGUGAGUACUAUUGCUCCACCCAAAAUGUGUUGAAAACAAAAUCCCAAAGAUUGAGAUCCAGGGGUCAGCAUUUUAUGAAGCUCUUGGGAUAAGUCUGGCAGUUAGUUGGGUUUGAGAGUAACUGACAAAGGCUUCACAUCUCUAAAGGAUUUAAAGACAACAAGAAGCUUAGAAUUUGAAUAUGCCUAGAAAGAGUGAUUUCACUUAAAUUUUGCUUGAAGAUAAAUUCUAGAGAAGUUAAUUGUUUCCUUCCUAUUCAUGAAUACUGAUUCAGCACUCCUUUUUGGCUUCCAGAUUCUCAAUCUACUGUGGUGAUGCUAUUACUUUGGACUUACCAAUUUGGGCUUCUUCCAGCGCUAAAAACCGAUUACAAAUAUGAAACAGAUUUUACUACUGGACUUGAAUACCAUAUUAAAAACAAGAAGAUCGUCAAAAUAAUUGAAAAAGAUCCUUACCAAAGAAUAGAUGCAAUGUGAAUGGCAAGAUAUCGAGGAGGUAAGAGGUAAAUUUCUUAAUAAAAACAUGUUUGUCAUGUGGUCA